rnacentral:misc_RNA from 1 species
UAGGUUAUGUCGCUGUCCACCAAACGACCAAACAAACAUGCAGUCAACUGAUAAUGAUUCAUUAGAAGAAAUGUACAAACCUCUUCGAUUUUUAAGACAUACCAGGGAUUCUUGAUACUGUAAUGUAGUCACAAUGGAACUGAAUAAUCAGGUCUGAUAUUCAAUUCUGCCAACUGCAGGUCUGACAUGAAUUCUUGGUCCUUCGGUUUAUAUUUUUGACUAAGUGUAGUGUGCAGUGUGUGACAGACUUUCCUGCAGCAGAAUUACUGUAAUUCGUUUUAGGUUAUGUCGCUGUCCACCAAACAAACAUGCAGUCAACUGACAAUGAUUCAUAAGAAGAAAUGUACAAGCCUCUUGAUUUUCCUGUUUUUCUCAAUUUUAUGUCAUACCAGGAAUUCUUAAUACUGUAAUGUAGUCACAAAGGAACUGAAUAAUCAGGUCUAAUAUACCAAUUCUGCCAGCUCCAGGUCUGAGAUGAGUUCUUGGUCCUUCAGUUUAUAUUUACUCUUGAGCUAUUGGCAACUAAUUGUAGUGAGCAGUGUGUGACAGACUUUCCUGCAGCAGAAUUACUAUAAUUUGACAUUCUUCAUGCAAGCUGUCGGCCUACAUCAUUUCCGAUCCACGGUCAUCCUUCAAGACAGUCACAUGUAUACCACUGUGCCCAUCCUGUUUGUGUUACUAAAGCCUGUGAACAAUUACUGAGGUAAAACCUCUAGUGACUGAAGACUGUUUGUUUUACUAAAGCCAGUGAAUUACUAAUGUAGAACCUUGAAGGUCUUGUGGCUGAAGAUUCUUUGUUUUACUAAAGCCAGUGAAUUACCAAUGUAGAACCUUGAAGGUCUUGUUGCUGAAGAUUCUUUGUUUUACUAAAGCCAGUGAAUUACCAAUGUAGAACCUUGAAGGUCUUGUAGCUGAAGAUUCUUUGUUUUACUAAAGCCAGUGAAUUACCAAUGUAGAACCUUGAAGGUCUUGUAGCUGAAGAUUCUUUGUUUUACUAAAGCCAGUGAAUUACCAAUGUAGAACCUUGAAGGUCUUGUGGCUGAAGAUUCUUUGUUUUACUAAAGCCAGUGAAUUACCAAUGUAGAACCUUGAAGGUCUUGUAGCUGAAGAUUCUUUGUUUUACUAAAGCCAGUGAAUUACCAAUGUAGAACCUUGAAGGUCUUGUAGCAGAAGAUUCUUUGUUUUACUAAAGCCAGUGAAUUACCAAUGUAGAACCUUGAAGGUCUUGUGGCUGAAGAUUCUUUGUUUUACUAAAGCCAGUGAAUUACCAAUGUAGAACCUUGAAGGUCUUGUAGCUGAAGAUUCUUUGUUUCACUAAAGCCAGUGAAUUACCAAUGUAGAACCUUGAAGGUCUUGUAGUGGAAGAUUCUUUGUUUUACUAAAGCCAGUGAAUUACCAAUGUAGAACCUUGAAGGUCUUGUAGCUGAAGAUUCUUUGUUUUACUAAAGCCAGUGAAUUACCAAUGUAGAACCUUGAAGGUCUUGUAGCAGAAGAUUCUUUGUUUUACUAAAGCCAGUGAAUUACCAAUGUAGAACCUUGAAGGUCUUGUGGCUGAAGAUUCUUUGUUUUACUAAAGCCAGUGAAUUACCAAUGUAGAACCUUGAAGGUUUUGUGACUGAAGAUUCUUUGUUUUACUAAAGCCAGUGAAUUACCAAUGUAGAACCUUGAAGGUCUUGUAGCUGAAGAUUCUUUGUUUUACUAAAGCCAGUGAAUUACCAAUGUAGAACCUUGAAGGUCUUGUAGCAGAAGAUUCUUUGUUUUACUAAAGCCAGUGAAUUACCAAUGUAGAACCUUGAAGGUCUUGUGACUGGAGAUUCUUUGUUUUACUAAAGCCAGUGAAUUACCAAUGUAGAACCUUGAAGGUCUUGUAGCUGAAGAUUCUUUGUUUUACUAAAGCCAGUGAAUUACCAAUGUAGAACCUUGAAGGUCUUGUAGCAGAAGAUUCUUUGUUUUACUAAAGCCAGUGAAUUACCAAUGUAGAACCUUGAAGGUCUUGUAGCUGAAGAUUCUUUGUUUUACUAAAGCCAGUGAAUUACCAAUGUAGAACCUUGAAGGUCUUGUAGCUGAAGAUU